rnacentral:misc_RNA from 1 species
GUUAGUUGUUACAUGGUUACAUCUUGCAUCCUCCAUUAGAAUCAUUUCACGUUUACUCAAUCGCAGAGAGCUAGAUCACAUAUUCUUCUCAACUGUUUCAUAUCUCCAGAAUCCUCGACCUCCGAAGAUUCCAGCUCUGAUGCUUGAAAUUCUUCAGAGACAGAGAAAGAGAGAUUUCAGUUAAUGGCUGGGGCAGUUUCUGCUCUGUUUCUCUUAGACAUAAAGGGGCGGGUUCUGGUGUGGCGCUACUACCGUGGGGAUGUCUCCGCCGUUCAAGCUGAACGCUUCUUUACGAAGCUCAUCGAGAAAGAGGGAGAUCCGCAGUCUCAAGAUCCGGUUGUCUACGAUAAUGGAGUCAGUUACAUGUUUAUACAACACAGUAACGUUUACCUCAUGACCGCGUCGAGGCAGAACUGCAAUGCUGCUGG